rnacentral:rRNA from 1 species
UUAAGCGACUAAGCGUACACGGUGGAUGCCCUGGCAGUCAGAGGCGAUGAAGGACGUGCUAAUCUGCGAUAAGCGCCGGUAAGGUGAUAUGAACCGUUAUAACCGGCGAUUUCCGAAUGGGGAAACCCAGUGUGAUUCGUCACACUAUCAUUAACUGAAUCCAUAGGUUAAUGAGGCGAACCGGGGGAACUGAAACAUCUAAGUACCCCGAGGAAAAGAAAUCAACCGAGAUUCCCCCAGUAGCGGCGAGCGAACGGGGAGGAGCCCAGAGCCUGAAUCAGCAUGUGUGUUAGUGGAAGCGUCUGGAAAGGCGCGCGAUACAGGGUGACAGCCCCGUACACAAAAGCGCAUGUGCUGUGAGCUCGAUGAGUAGGGCGGGACACGUGGUAUCCUGUCUGAAUAUGGGGGGACCAUCCUCCAAGGCUAAAUACUCCUGACUGACCGAUAGUGAACCAGUACCGUGAGGGAAAGGCGAAAAGAACCCCGGCGAGGGGAGUGAAAAAGAACCUGAAACCGUGUACGUACAAGCAGUGGGAGCCCCACCACCAAAGCAUUCUCUGGUGUUGAAGGCCCUGCAAAGCAGCAUCGCGGUGGCGGAGCGUCGUUUGCGACGCCCAACACACAAAACAAGCGGUGAAUGCUUUGGGGUGGGGUGACUGCGUACCUUUUGUAUAAUGGGUCAGCGACUUAUAUUCUGUAGCAAGGUUAACCGAAUAGGGGAGCCGGAGGGAAACCGAGUCUUAAUUGGGCGUUAAGUUGCAGGGUAUAGACCCGAAACCCGGUGAUCUAGCCAUGGGCAGGUUGAAGGUUGGGUAACACUAACUGGAGGACCGAACCGACUAAUGUUGAAAAAUUAGCGGAUGACCUGUGGCUGGGGGUGAAAGGCCAAUCAAACCGGGAGAUAGCUGGUUCUCCCCGAAAGCUAUUUAGGUAGCGCCUCGUGAAUUCAUCUCCGGGGGUAGAGCACUGUUUCGGCUAGGGGGCCAUCCCGGCUUACCAACCCGAUGCAAACUGCGAAUACCGGAGAAUGUUAUCACGGGAGACACACGGCGGGUGCUAACGUCCGUCGUGAAGAGGGAAACAACCCAGACCGCCAGCUAAGGUCCCAAAGUCAUGGUUAAGUGGGAAACGAUGUGGGAAGGCCCAGACAGCCAGGAUGUUGGCUUAGAAGCAGCCAUCAUUUAAAGAAAGCGUAAUAGCUCACUGGUCGAGUCGGCCUGCGCGGAAGAUGUAACGGGGCUAAACCAUGCACCGAAGCUGCGGCAGCGACGCUGAUGCGUUGUUGGGUAGGGGAGCGUUCUGUAAGCCUGCGAAGGUGACCUGUGAGGGUUGCUGGAGGUAUCAGAAGUGCGAAUGCUGACAUAAGUAACGAUAAAGCGGGUGAAAAGCCCGCUCGCCGGAAGACCAAGGGUUCCUGUCCAACGUUAAUCGGGGCAGGGUGAGUCGACCCCUAAGGCGAGGCCGAAAGGCGUAGUCGAUGGGAAACGGGUUAAUAUUCCCGUACUUGGUGUUACUGCGAAGGGGGGACGGAGAAGGCUAUGUUGGCCGGGCGACGGUUGUCCCGGUUUAAGCGUGUAGGUGUGUGUUCCAGGUAAAUCCGGUUCACUUUAACACUGAGGCGUGAUGACGAGGCACUACGGUGCUGAAGCAACAAAUGCCCUGCUUCCAGGAAAAGCCUCUAAGCAUCAGGUAACAUCAAAUCGUACCCCAAACCGACACAGGUGGUCAGGUAGAGAAUACCAAGGCGCUUGAGAGAACUCGGGUGAAGGAACUAGGCAAAAUGGUGCCGUAACUUCGGGAGAAGGCACGCUGACACGUAGGUGAAGUGAUUUACUCACGGAGCUGAAGUCAGUCGAAGAUACCAGCUGGCUGCAACUGUUUAUUAAAAACACAGCACUGUGCAAACACGAAAGUGGACGUAUACGGUGUGACGCCUGCCCGGUGCCGGAAGGUUAAUUGAUGGGGUCAGCGCAAGCGAAGCUCCUGAUCGAAGCCCCGGUAAACGGCGGCCGUAACUAUAACGGUCCUAAGGUAGCGAAAUUCCUUGUCGGGUAAGUUCCGACCUGCACGAAUGGCUUAAUGAUGGCCAGGCUGUCUCCACCCGAGACUCAGUGAAAUUGAACUCGCUGUGAAGAUGCAGUGUACCCGCGGCAAGACGGAAAGACCCCGUGAACCUUUACUAUAGCUUGACACUGAACAUUGAGCCUUGAUGUGUAGGAUAGGUGGGAGGCUUUGAAGUGUGGACGCCAGUCUGCAUGGAGCCGACCUUGAAAUACCACCCUUUAAUGUUUGAUGUUCUAACGUGGACCCGUAAUCCGGGUUGCGGACAGUGUCUGGUGGGUAGUUUGACUGGGGCGGUCUCCUCCUAAAGAGUAACGGAGGAGCACGAAGGUUGGCUAAUCCUGGUCGGACAUCAGGAGGUUAGUGCAAUGGCAUAAGCCAGCUUGACUGCGAGCGUGACGGCGCGAGCAGGUGCGAAAGCAGGUCAUAGUGAUCCGGUGGUUCUGAAUGGAAGGGCCAUCGCUCAACGGAUAAAAGGUACUCCGGGGAUAACAGGCUGAUACCGCCCAAGAGUUCAUAUCGACGGCGGUGUUUGGCACCUCGAUGUCGGCUCAUCACAUCCUGGGGCUGAAGUAGGUCCCAAGGGUAUGGCUGUUCGCCAUUUAAAGUGGUACGCGAGCUGGGUUUAGAACGUCGUGAGACAGUUCGGUCCCUAUCUGCCGUGGGCGCUGGAGAACUGAGGGGGGCUGCUCCUAGUACGAGAGGACCGGAGUGGACGCAUCACUGGUGUUCGGGUUGUCAUGCCAAUGGCACUGCCCGGUAGCUAAAUGCGGAAGAGAUAAGUGCUGAAAGCAUCUAAGCACGAAACUUGCCCCGAGAUGAGUUCUCCCUGAGACUUUAGGUCUCCUGAAGGAACGUUGAAGACGACGACGUUGAUAGGCCGGGUGUGUAAGCGCAGCGAUGCGUUGAGCUAACCGGUACUAAUGAACCGUGAGGCUUAACCUU